rnacentral:rRNA from 1 species
GACGAACGCUGGCGGCGUGCUUAACACAUGCAAGUCGAACGGAAAGGCCCUGCUUUUGUGGGGUGCUCGAGUGGCGAACGGGUGAGUAACACGUGAGUAACCUGCCCUUGACUUUGGGAUAACUUCAGGAAACUGGGGCUAAUACCGGAUAGGAGCUCCUGCUGCAUGGUGGGGGUUGGAAAGUUUCGGCGGUUGGGGAUGGACUCGCGGCUUAUCAGCUUGUUGGUGAGGUAGUGGCUUACCAAGGCUUUGACGGGUAGCCGGCCUGAGAGGGUGACCGGCCACAUUGGGACUGAGAUACGGCCCAGACUCCUACGGGAGGCAGCAGUGGGGAAUAUUGCACGAUGGGCGGAAGCCUGAUGCAGCAACGCCGCGUGCGGGAUGACGGCCUUCGGGUUGUAAACCGCUUUCGCCUGUGACGAAGCGUGAGUGACGGUAAUGGGUAAAGAAGCACCGGCUAACUACGUG